GACGUAGGGCGCAAGCGUUGUCCGGAAUUAUUGGGCGUAAAGAGCUCGUAGGCGGUUUGUUGCGUCGACGGUGAAAACCCAUGGCUUAACUGUGGGCUUGCCGUCGAUACGGGCGGACUAGAGGUAUGCAGGGGAGAACGGAAUUCCUGGUGUAGCGGUGGAAUGCGCAGAUAUCAGGAGGAACACCGGUGGCGAAGGCGGGUCUCUGGACAGUUCCUGACACUGAGGCACGAAGGCCAGGGGAGCAAACGGG
rnacentral:rRNA from 1 species